CCUACGGGUGGCAGCAGUGAGGAAUAUUGGUCAAUGGGCGGAAGCCUGAACCAGCCAAGUCGCGUGAGGGAAUAAGGCCCUACGGGUCGUAAACCUCUUUUGCCGGGGAGCAAGGGCGGGGACGUGUCCCGGCCCGGCGAGUACCCGGAGACAAAGCAUCGGCUAACUCCGUGCCAGCAGCCGCGGUAAUACGGAGGAUGCGAGCGUUAUCCGGAGUUAUUGGGUUUAAAGGAAGCGUAGGCGGGCUUUCAAGUCAGCUGUAAAAUCGCGCGGCUCAACCGCGCCCCGCAGUUGAAACUGGACGCAUUGAGUUCACAACAGGCAGGCGGAAUGUGUGGUGGAGCGGUGAAAUGCAUAGAGAUCACGAGGAACCCCGAGUGCGAAGGCAGCCUGCCGGGGUGCGACUGACGCUGAGGCUCGAAGGUGCGGGUAUCAAACAGGAGUAGAUACCCGAGUAGUC
rnacentral:rRNA from 1 species